rnacentral:rRNA from 1 species
AAAGCUUGCUUUUAAAGGUAGCGGCGGACGGGUGAGUAACACGUGGGCAACCUGCCUGUAAGACUGGGAUAACUUCGGGAAACCGGAGCUAAUACCGGGUAAUUCUUUUCUACACAUGUAGGAAAGCUGAAAGACGGCUUCGGCUGUCACUUACAGAUGGGCCCGCGGCGCAUUAGCUAGUUGGUGAGGUAACGGCUCACCAAGGCAACGAUGCGUAGCCGACCUGAGAGGGUGAUCGGCCACACUGGGACUGAGACACGGCCCAGACUCCUACGGGAGGCAGCAGUAGGGAAUCUUCCGCAAUGGACGAAAGUCUGACGGAGCAACGCCGCGUGAGUGAUGAAGGUUUUCGGAUCGUAAAACUCUGUUGUUAGGGAAGAACAAGUACGAGAGUAACUGCUCGUACCUUGACGGUACCUAACCAGAAAGCCACGGCUAACUACGUGC